CCUUGCCAGCCCGCUCAGAAACUUAAAUGAAUUGACGGGGCCCGCACAAGCGGUGGAGUAUGUGGUUUAAUUCGAUGCAACGCGAAGAACCUUACCUGGUCUUGACAUCCCGGAGACCCUUAGGAAACUAGGGGGUGCUUCCAUCUGGAAGAAUCUGGAGACAGGUGCUGCAUGGCUGUCGUCAGCUCGUGUCGUGAGAUGUUGGGUUAAGUCCCGCAACGAGCGCAACCCUUGCCUUUAGUUGCCAGCAGUUCGGCUGGGCACUCUAAAGGGACUGCCGGUGUUAAACCGGAGGAAGGUGGGGAUGACGUCAAGUCCUCAUGGCCUUUAUGACCAGGGCUACACACGUACUACAAUGGCCGAUACAAAGGGCAGCGACACUGCGAGGUGAAGCCAAUCCCGUAAAAUCGGUCUCAGUCCGGAUUGGAGUCUGCAACUCGACUCCAUGAAGUUGGAAUCGCUAGUAAUCGUGGAUCAGCAUGCCACGGUGAAUACGUUCCCGGGCCUU
rnacentral:rRNA from 1 species